rnacentral:lncRNA from 1 species
UUUUCAGCUUUUAGUCCGUUUUCGCUCGUUUUUGCUCGUUUGGCCUCCGAUUCAUUUCAAAUCCUCCGAUUCAUUUCAAAUCAAACCGAGUCUUUCAAAACAUGUUUUCGAGCGUGUUUUCAUCAUCUUUCCAUCCACGCUAAUGCUGGAUUUAGUUCAUAGUCCAACAUAGCCUUUCGGGUCCUACUUUCGCACCCUACGCGCACCGAAGCACCCGAAUGUUCCCGAACUUCACCGGAACCAUUCUAACGGCUCUCCAAACUAACAUACACCGUAACUUCAUAACUUUAGAAGUUCGUUAUGUUACACUCAAACUGUAAUCUGGUUUUCAAAUC